rnacentral:misc_RNA from 1 species
AAGUCGUAACAAGGUUUCCGUAGGCGAACCUGCGGAAGGAUCAUUAACGUAGUUUUGAUUUGGGAGAGGAGUUCUUUUACUUCUCUUUUCCAUUUCUUCACCACAUGUUGUGCUCUUAAAAGAUUGUCUUUGGUGGUUAAACUCAUUUGUUUGAGGCACCCGUUCUGGUUACCCAGAACCAACUCGUUGUUUUUUUUUUUUUUUAUCUUCUUUUUGCAUGUCAUUCAUGUCAUUAAGAGAGCAAAAAAAAACGACAAGUACAAAAGAAGUUGGAGGCUUGUUCCUUGAAUUUGUUUUUGUUACUUGGAAGAGGGGCCUCCGCUUUUUUUAAACAACUUUUUUUUGUCUGUAUAUAUCUUUAUUCUGUUGAAAUAUUCAAAACAUUUUAACAAGAAACAACUUUUGACAACGGAUCUCUUGGCUCUC